rnacentral:tRNA from 1 species
GUUGCCUCUGGUGUCGUCAGGAUGCUUCACAGUUUUGUAAACUGCGGGUCGUGGGUUCAAAUCCCACAGCCGGCUCCA